rnacentral:tRNA from 1 species
GGACGGCUAGCUCAGUGGUUAGAGCAUCUCGUUUACACCGAGGAGGUCGGGGGUUCGAGUCCCUCGCCGUCCA